rnacentral:lncRNA from 1 species
UUUAAACCUAAUGAAUCAUGAUAAACCCUAAGGACUCAACAAUUCAAAUUAGGACCAGAAAAAAACAAUUCAAAGCGUAUAACACGAAUUAUGAAGUACCAUGUGGUUAAAACACAAACAACAGCAACAAUAUGUGAGUUAGAGAAUCCAUCGUCAAUUCAAACCCUAUUGUGACGAAUGUGAAGCCUGCAACCACAAUCCCGUGCCCUAGACAUGUCUCGAGUCCGAUUGGGGUUGUUACAACCCAAAAGAAGCCUAAAGGUGUUGUCUUCAAUAUUUUGGGGGUAUUGA